AGAAUCAACGCUGGCGGCGUGCCUAACACAUGCAAGUCGAACGAGAAAGUGGAGCAAUCCAUGAGUAAAGUGGCGCACGGGUGAGUAACACGUGACUAACCUACCUUUUAGUGGGGGAUAACCUAGGGAAACCUGGGCUAAUACCGCAUAAUACCUACGGGUCAAAGCAGCAAUGCGCUGAAAGAGGGGGUCGCGGUCGAUUAGUUAGUUGGCAGGGUAAUGGCCUACCAAGACUGUGAUCGAUAUCCGGCCUGAGAGGGCGCACGGACACACUGGAACUGAAACACGGUCCAGACUCCUACGGGAGGCAGCAGUGGGGAAUUUUGCGCAAUGGGGGAAACCCUGACGCAGCAACGCCGCGUGGAGGAUGAAGUCCCUUGGGACGUAAACUCCUUUCGAUCGGGACGAUAAUGACGGUACCGGAAGAAGAAGCCCCGGCUAACUUCGCGCCAGCAGCCGC
rnacentral:rRNA from 1 species